UACAGAGACUGCAAGCGUUAUUCGGAUUCACUGGGCGUAAAGGGUGCGCAGGCGGCCGGGUGUGUCAGAUGUGAAAUCCCGAGGCUCAACCUCGGAACUGCGUCUGAAACUACUCGGCUAGAGUACUGGAGAGGGUAACGGAAUUCACGGUGUAGCAGUGAAAUGCGUAGAUAUCGUGAGGAACACCAGAGGUGAAGGCGGUUACCUGGACAGUUACUGACGCUCAGGCACGAAAGCAUGGGGAGCAAACAGG
rnacentral:rRNA from 1 species